AUGAACGCUAGCUACAGGCUUAACACAUGCAAGUCGAGGGGCAUCAGGAAGAAAGCUUGCUUUCUUUGCUGGCGACCGGCGCACGGGUGAGUAACACGUAUCCAACCUGCCCUUUACUCGGGGAUAGCCUUUCGAAAGAAAGAUUAAUACCCGAUAGUAUAAUGAUUCCGCAUGGUUUGAUUAUUAAAGGAUUCCGGUAAAGGAUGGGGAUGCGUUCCAUUAGGUUGUUGGUGAGGUAACGGCUCACCAAGCCUUCGAUGGAUAGGGGUUCUGAGAGGAAGGUCCCCCACAUUGGAACUGAGACACGGUCCAAACUCCUACGGGAGGCAGCAGUGAGGAAUAUUGGUCAAUGGGCGAUGGCCUGAACCAGCCAAGUAGCGUGAAGGAUGACUGCCCUAUGGGUUGUAAACUUCUUUUAUAUUAGAAUAAAGUGCAGUAUGUAUACUGUUUUGUAUGUAUAAUAUGAAUAAGGAUCGGCUAACUCCGUGCCAGCAGCCGCGGUAAUACGUAUGGUGCAAGCGUUAUCCGGAUUUACUGGGUGUAAAGGGAGCGCAGGCGGUGCGGCAAGUCUGAUGUGAAAGCCCGGGGCUCAACCCCGGUACUGCAUUGGAAACUGUCGUACUAGAGUGUCGGAGGGGUAAGUGGAAUUCCUAGUGUAGCGGUGAAAUGCGUAGAUAUUAGGAAGAACACCAGUGGCGAAGGCGGCUUACUGGACGGUAACUGACGUUGAGGCUCGAAAGCGUGGGGAGCAAACAGGAUUAGAUACCCUGGUAGUCCACACAGUAAACGAUGAAUACUCGCUGUUUGCGAUAUACAGUAAGCGGCCAAGCGAAAGCAUUAAGUAUUCCACCUGGGGAGUACGCCGGCAACGGUGAAACUCAAAGGAAUUGACGGGGGCCCGCACAAGCGGAGGAACAUGUGGUUUAAUUCGAUGAUACGCGAGGAACCUUACCCGGGCUUAAAUUGCAGUGGAAUGAUGUGGAAACAUGUCAGUGAGCAAUCACCGCUGUGAAGGUGCUGCAUGGUUGUCGUCAGCUCGUGCCGUGAGGUGUCGGCUUAAGUGCCAUAACGAGCGCAACCCUUAUCUUUAGUUACUAACAGGUCAUGCUGAGGACUCUGGAGAGACUGCCGUCGUAAGAUGUGAGGAAGGUGGGGAUGACGUCAAAUCAGCACGGCCCUUACGUCCGGGGCUACACACGUGUUACAAUGGGGGGUACAGAAGGCAGCUACCUGGUGACAGGAUGCUAAUCCCAAAAGCCUCUCUCAGUUCGGAUCGAAGUCUGCAACCCGACUUCGUGAAGCUGGAUUCGCUAGUAAUCGCGCAUCAGCCACGGCGCGGUGAAUACGUUCCCGGGCCUUGUACACACCGCCCGUCAAGCCAUGGGAGCCGGGGGUACCUGAAGUACGUAACCGCAAGGAGCGUCCUAGGGUAAAACUGGUGACUGGGGCU
rnacentral:rRNA from 1 species